GGCAUUGUAGCUCAGUGGUAGAGCACUUGCCUAGCAUGUGUGAGGCACUGAGUUCAAUCCUCAGUACCA
rnacentral:tRNA from 1 species